UUUUGCAUGACAUAAAAAGAUAAAAUUCAAAAUGAUUCAGAGAGGGAAUCAUUCAUUGUGAUGAUCUGGGUGGUUGAUGGAAAGUCUCAGAGAUAGGCACAGAGCACACUGACAGCCAUAAACAUCUACUUACACCUGAGUACAUGCCAGACUGAGAGAGACAAAGAGAGAGAGACGCUGUGGUGAUACUGAUCUCUGUGAGCAGCAUGUAUGGAAAACAAGGUUUUACCAACCUUGUGUUCCUGCUUGGCGAUGUUGUCCAAUGACAGUGAUAACAGGAAGUUCUUGGCUCCGACAAAGAGACGGCCUCUCUCUUCGUCCAGCAGCAGCGCGGAGAAGCAGCAGGACCGCUCUAGCUCGAACCGCCGCACUCCAUGGAACUGCUGCAGCUCUGAAAACGCAGACAUACAAGAUUAAAGAUGGCUGCAGCCUUCAAUUUCACAAGUUAUAUGCACUCAAGUAUCCUGUUUAUGUUGUGUGCAUGCAAACAUUGGAUAUGGUUAAAGCAGCAGAUGACGGUUCACCAACACAUCUGGUUGUGCUCGAGAUCUAUGCCUAUUAAAAGGAAGUUAUUCCGUGUCAGUGCUACCAUAUGCUUGCUUGUGGUGGCUUUUGUUGUGUUUUUGCUCCAAAUAAAUAGAAAUGGACUGACUGA